rnacentral:rRNA from 1 species
AGAGGUUUGAACUCUGGCUCGAGGACGAACGCUGGCGGCGUGCUAACACAUGCAAGUCGAGCGGUAAGGGCCCUUCGGGGUACACGAGCGGCGAACGGGUGAGUAACACGUCGGGUGACCCGCCCUCCACUUCGGGGAUAAGCCUGGGAAACUGGGUCUAAUACCGGAUAGGACCUCUUGGUGCAUGCCGAGUGGUGGAAAGUUUUGUCGGUGGGGAUGGGCCCGCGGUCUAUCAGCUUGUUGGUGGGGUGAUGGCCUACCCAAGGGCGACGACGGAUAGCCGGCCUGAGAGGGUGAUCGGCCACACUGGGACUGAGACACGGCCCAGACUCCUACGGGAGGCAGCAGUGGGGAAUCUUGCGCAAUGGGCGAAAGCCUGACGCAGCAACGCCGCGUGAGGGAUGACGGCCUUCGGGUUGUAAACCUCUUUCGCGAUCGACGAAGGCCCGUCUUGUUGGCGGGUUGACGGUAGGUCGAGAAGAAGCACCGGCCAACUACGUG